AUGUUUUCCUUCAAAUGUUUAAUUGAUAAUGUCUACAGGCAGAUAUAAAGGAUAUUGUUAGUACGCAGGACCAGGUGAUUGAGUUGCAUGACAAGUACCUGGCAUAUGUGAACUCUUGUUUCCAGAAUCACACCCUUUUCCAUAAGGCUCUUAAAGAGGCUUUUGAGGUCUUUUGCAACAAAGGUGUUGCUGGAAACUCUAGUGCAGAACUUCUUGCCACUUUUUGUGAUAACAGUCUCAACAAUGGAUGUUUUCAUUAUUUUAUGGACUUUGGCGGUACAUGUUCCACAAGUUAGAGCUUCAUGUACUCAUUUUAGGGAUUGACAAGGCUGGCAAAACGACUUUGCUUGAGAAGAUGAAGUCGGUGUACACGAAUGUAGAAGGUCUUCCUUCGGAUUGAAUUGGGGAAAGCAAUUGCUUCUCUAGGGCGUGGUAUUUUUUCCAUGAAUGAAUCCAAUGCUACAUGUGGAAAGCGGUUGGAUUCAAUUGGACUAGAGAACACCGAAGCUAACCGUCAAGCAUGGCGUAAAAUUAUAUAUGAAGAAAGUGUUAUGACUUGGUUAAAAUAUAAUUUUUAUGUGUAUGAUUUUAUAGUACUUGAAAUAUUAUG